rnacentral:rRNA from 1 species
GUGGGGAAUCUUCCGCAAUGGACGAAAGUCUGACGGAGCAACGCCGCGUGAGUGAAGAAGGUUUUCGGAUCGUAAAGCUCUUUCGUUAGGGACGAACGUGCUCUUUGUGAAUAAUGAGAGAUAGUGACGGUACCUGAAUAAGAAGCCACGGCUAACUACGUGCCAGCAGCCGCGGUAAUACGUAGGUGGCAAGCGUUGUCCGGAAUUAUUGGGCGUAAAGCGCGCGCAGGCGGGAUAUCAAGUCUGUCUUAAAAGUGCGAGGCUCAACCUCGUGAGGGGACAGAAACUGGUAUUCUUGAGUGUCGGAGAGGAAAGUGGAAUUCCAAGUGUAGCGGUGAAAUGCGUAGAGAUUUGGAAGAACACCAGUGGCGAAGGCGACUUUCUGGACGAUGUCUGACGCUGAGGCGCGAAAGCUAGGGGAGCGAACGGGAUUAGAAACCCCUGUAGUCC